rnacentral:rRNA from 1 species
AGUGAACGCUGGCGGUAGGCCUAACACAUGCAAGUCGAACGGCAGCACAGGAGAGCUUGCUCUCUGGGUGGCGAGUGGCGGACGGGUGAGGAAUACAUCGGAAUCUACUCUGUCGUGGGGGAUAACGUAGGGAAACUUACGCUAAUACCGCAUACGACCUACGGGUGAAAGCAGGGGAUCUUCGGACCUUGCGCGAUUGAAUGAGCCGAUGUCGGAUUAGCUAGGUGGCGGGGUAAAGGCCCACCAAGGCGACGAUCCGUAGCUGGUCUGAGAGGAUGAUCAGCCACACUGGAACUGAGACACGGUCCAGACUCCGACGGGAGGCAGCAGUGGGGAAUAUUGGACAAUGGGCGCAAGCCUGAUCCAGCCAUACCGCGUGGGUGAAGAAGGCCUUCGGGUUGUAAAGCCCUUUUGUUGGGAAAGAAAUCCAGCUGGCUAAUACCCGGUUGGGAUGACGGUACCCAAAGAAUAAGCACCGGCUAACUUCGUGCCAGCCGCCGCGGUAA